rnacentral:rRNA from 1 species
GGAGGGGGCCAGCGUUGCUCGGAAUCACUGGGCGUAAAGGGCUUGUAGGCGGUCUGAUAAGUCCUGUGUGAAAUCCCUUGGCUUAACCAAGGAACUGCGCCGGAUACUGUCGGACUAGAGGCCGGGAGAGGGAAGCGGAAUUCCCAGUGUAGCGGUGAAAUGCGUAGAUAUUGGGAGGAACACCGGUGGCGAAGGCGGCUUCCUGGACCGGUUCUGACGCUGAAAAGCGAAAGCUAGGGUAGCAAACAGGAUUAGAUACCCUGGUAGUCCUAGCUGUAAACGAUGGGCGCUUGGUGUUGCGGGUAUCGACCCCUGCAGUGCCGAAGCUAACGCAUUAAGCGCCCCGCCUGGGGAGUACGGUCGCAAGGCUGAA